rnacentral:rRNA from 1 species
GUUAAGCGACUAAGCGUACACGGUGGAUGCCCUGGCAGUCAGAGGCGAUGAAGGACGUGCUAAUCUGCGAUAAGCGUCGGUAAGGUGAUAUGAACCGUUAUAACCGGCGAUUUCCGAAUGGGGAAACCCAGUGUGUUUCGACACACUAUCAUUAACUGAAUCCAUAGGUUAAUGAGGCGAACCGGGGGAACUGAAACAUCUAAGUACCCCGAGGAAAAGAAAUCAACCGAGAUUCCCCCAGUAGCGGCGAGCGAACGGGGAGCAGCCCAGAGCCUGAAUCAGUGUGUGUGUUAGUGGAAGCGUCUGGAAAGGCGCGCGAUACAGGGUGACAGCCCCGUACACAAAAAUGCACAUGCUGUGAGCUCGAUGAGUAGGGCGGGACACGUGGUAUCCUGUCUGAAUAUGGGGGGACCAUCCUCCAAGGCUAAAUACUCCUGACUGACCGAUAGUGAACCAGUACCGUGAGGGAAAGGCGAAAAGAACCCCGGCGAGGGGAGUGAAAAAGAACCUGAAACCGUGUACGUACAAGCAGUGGGAGCACGCUUAGGCGUGUGACUGCGUACCUUUUGUAUAAUGGGUCAGCGACUUAUAUUCUGUAGCAAGGUUAACCGAAUAGGGGAGCCGAAGGGAAACCGAGUCUUAACUGGGCGUUAAGUUGCAGGGUAUAGACCCGAAACCCGGUGAUCUAGCCAUGGGCAGGUUGAAGGUUGGGUAACACUAACUGGAGGACCGAACCGACUAAUGUUGAAAAAUUAGCGGAUGACUUGUGGCUGGGGGUGAAAGGCCAAUCAAACCGGGAGAUAGCUGGUUCUCCCCGAAAGCUAUUUAGGUAGCGCCUCGUGAAUUCAUCUCCGGGGGUAGAGCACUGUUUCGGCAAGGGGGUCAUCCCGACUUACCAACCCGAUGCAAACUGCGAAUACCGGAGAAUGUUAUCACGGGAGACACACGGCGGGUGCUAACGUCCGUCGUGAAGAGGGAAACAACCCAGACCGCCAGCUAAGGUCCCAAAGUCAUGGUUAAGUGGGAAACGAUGUGGGAAGGCCCAGACAGCCAGGAUGUUGGCUUAGAAGCAGCCAUCAUUUAAAGAAAGCGUAAUAGCUCACUGGUCGAGUCGGCCUGCGCGGAAGAUGUAACGGGGCUAAACCAUGCACCGAAGCUGCGGCAGCGACGCUUAUGCGUUGUUGGGUAGGGGAGCGUUCUGUAAGCCUGCGAAGGUGUGCUGUGAGGCAUGCUGGAGGUAUCAGAAGUGCGAAUGCUGACAUAAGUAACGAUAAAGCGGGUGAAAAGCCCGCUCGCCGGAAGACCAAGGGUUCCUGUCCAACGUUAAUCGGGGCAGGGUGAGUCGACCCCUAAGGCGAGGCCGAAAGGCGUAGUCGAUGGGAAACAGGUUAAUAUUCCUGUACUUGGUGUUACUGCGAAGGGGGGACGGAGAAGGCUAUGUUGGCCGGGCGACGGUUGUCCCGGUUUAAGCGUGUAGGCUGGUUUUCCAGGCAAAUCCGGAAAAUCAAGGCUGAGGCGUGAUGACGAGGCACUACGGUGCUGAAGCAACAAAUGCCCUGCUUCCAGGAAAAGCCUCUAAGCAUCAGGUAACAUCAAAUCGUACCCCAAACCGACACAGGUGGUCAGGUAGAGAAUACCAAGGCGCUUGAGAGAACUCGGGUGAAGGAACUAGGC